GACGGAGGGGACUAGCGUUGUUCGGAAUUACUGGGCGUAAAGCGCACGUAGGCGGAUUUGUAAGUCAGGGGUGAAAUCCCGGGGCUCAACCUCGGAACUGCCUUUGAUACUGCAAAUCUCGAGUCCGGAAGAGGUGAGUGGAAUUCCUAGUGUAGAGGUGAAAUUCGUAGAUAUUAGGAAGAACACCAGUGGCGAAGGCGGCUCACUGGUCCGGUACUGACGCUGAGGUGCGAAAGCGUGGGGAGCAAACAGG
rnacentral:rRNA from 1 species